rnacentral:rRNA from 1 species
GAGCGCCGUAGCAAUACGGAGCGGCAGACGGGAGAGUAACACGUGGGAACGUACCCUUUGGUUCGGAACAACGCAGGGAAACUUGGGCUAAUACCGGAUAAGCCCUUACGGGGAAAGAUUCAUCGCCGAAGGAUCGGCCCGCGUCUGAUUAGCUAGUUGGUGGGGUAAUGGCCCACCAAGGCGACGAUCAGUAGCUGGUCUGAGAGGAUGAUCAGCCUCACUGGGACUGAGACACGGCCCAGACUCCUACGGGAGGCAGCAGUGGGGAAUAUUGGACAAUGGGCGCAAGCCUGAUCCAGCCAUGCCGCGUGGGUGAUGAAGGCCCUAGGGUUGUAAAGCCCUUUCGGCGGGGAAGAUAAUGACGGUACCCGCAGAAGAAGCCCCGGCUAACUUCGUG